rnacentral:rRNA from 1 species
AGUGAACGCUGGCGGUAGGCCUAACGCAUGCAAGUCGAACGGCAGCACAGUAAGAGCUUGCUCUUACGGGUGGCGAGUGGCGGACGGGUGAGGAAUACAUCGGAAUCUACUUUUUCGUGGGGGAUAACGUAGGGAAACUUACGCUAAUACCGCAUACGACCUACGGGUGAAAGCAGGGGAUCUUCGGACCUUGCGCGAUUGAAUGAGCCGAUGUUGGAUUAGCUAGUUGGCGGGGUAAAGGCCCACCAAGGCGACGAUCCGUAGCUGGUCUGAGAGGAUGAUCAGCCACACUGGAACUGAGACACGGUCCAGACUCCUACGGGAGGCAGCAGUGGGGAAUAUUGGACAAUGGGCGCAAGCCUGAUCCAGCCAUACCGCGUGGGUGAAGAAGGCCUUCGGGUUGUAAAGCCCUUUUGUUGGGAAAGAAAAGCAGCAGGUUAAUACCCCGCUGUUCUGACGGUACCCAAAGAAUAAGCACCGGCUAACUUCGUG